CCUACGGGGCGCAGCAGUGGGGAAUAUUGCACAAUGGGGGAAACCCUGAUGCAGCAACGCCGCGUGAAGGAAGACGGUUUUCGGAUUGUAAACUUCUAUUAAUAGGGAAGAAAGAAAUGACGGUACCUAAAUAAGAAGCCCCGGCUAACUACGUGCCAGCAGCCGCGGUAAUACGUAGGGGGCAGGCGUUCUCCGGAUGUACUGGGUGGAAAGGGAGAGUAGGCGGCAAGGUAAGCGAGAUGUGAAAGCCUUAAGCUUAACUUAAGUAUGGCAUAACGAACUGGCUGGCUAGAGUGCAGGAGAGGAAAGCGGAAUUCCUAGUGUAGCGGUGAAAUGCGUAGAUAUUAGGAAGAACACCAGUGGCGAAGGCGGCUUUCUGGACUGAAACUGACGCUGAGGCUCGAAAGCGUGGGGAGCGAACAGGAUUAGAUACCCCUGUAGUC
rnacentral:rRNA from 1 species